UACGUAGGGUGCAAGCGUUGUCCGGAAUUAUUGGGCGUAAAGAGCUCGUAGGCGGUCUGUCGCGUCGGCUGUGAAAUCCCGAGGCUCAACCUCGGGUCUGCAGUCGAUACGGGCAAACUAGAGUAUUGCAGGGGAGACUGGAAUUCCUGGUGUAGCGGUGAAAUGCGCAGAUAUCAGGAGGAACACCGGUGGCGAAGGCGGAUCUCUGGGCCUGUCCUGACGCUCAGGCGCGAAAGCUAGGGGAGCAAACAGG
rnacentral:rRNA from 1 species